CUCCGAAACCCCUCAUCUUCCCUCUGCUAAGGAGACUACGACAAGAGAAGACAUCACUGAUUCUAAUAGCCCCUUUUUGGCCUCGCAGACCUUGGUUUCCGCUCCUACUAAGUCUGUGCAAGAAGGAUCCAUGGCGCCUUCCAGUUGUCCCAUUCCUGUUACAUCAGGGUCCAAUUCACCAUCCAAACCCAGCAUCCCUUCGUCUGAUGGCAUGGUACUUGAAAGGGAUGGGUUAAAGAACAAGGGAUUUUCAAGAUCAGUUAUCG